GAUGAACGCUAGCUACAGGCUUAACACAUGCAAGUCGAGGGGCAGCAUCAUUAAAGCUUGCUUUGAUGGAUGGCGACCGGCGCACGGGUGAGUAACACGUAUCCAACCUGCCGACAACACUGGGAUAGCCUUUCGAAAGAAAGAUUAAUACCGGAUGGCAUAGUCUUCCCGCAUGGGAUGACUAUUAAAGAAUUUCGGUUGUCGAUGGGGAUGCGUUCCAUUAGGCAGUUGGCGGGGUAACGGCCCACCAAACCAACGAUGGAUAGGGGUUCUGAGAGGAAGGUCCCCCACAUUGGAACUGAGACACGGUCCAAACUCCUACGGGAGGCAGCAGUGAGGAAUAUUGGUCAAUGGACGAGAGUCUGAACCAGCCAAGUAGCGUGAAGGAUGACUGCCCUAUGGGUUGUAAACUUCUUUUAUACGGGAAUAAAGUGAGCCACGUGUGGCUUUUUGUAUGUACCGUAUGAAUAAGGAUCGGCUAACUCCGUGCCAGCGGCCGCGGUAAUACGGAGGAUCCGAGCGUUAUCCGGAUUUAUUGGGUUUAAAGGGAGCGUAGGCGGGUUGUUAAGUCAGUUGUGAAAGUUUGCGGCUCAACCGUAAAAUUGCAGUUGAUACUGGCGACCUUGAGUGCAACAGAGGUAGGCGGAAUUCGUGGUGUAGCGGUGAAAUGCUUAGAUAUCACGAAGAACUCCGA
rnacentral:rRNA from 1 species